UUAUCUGAGUAGUAUGAGUUAAGACCUUCGGAAACUGUAGUUCCCAUUUCUCAGUUAUCUUUUGUAGAACACCCAAGGAGAAGGGCACAUUCACAUCUCAGGCUGUUCAACCUACAAAAUAAGAGAACUAGUUGGCAUGAUACAAUCCUAUGAAGAAUUCCAUUCUGGAAAAGUAGUAAUGAGAUGAAAGAGACAUAAAACAGCUGGCAUGACACCGAAACUUUCCCUUGGCCACUGCUGCUCCCCACUCCAAACAUGUCAAGCUCAGCACGACUCAUGUGUACAAACCGUUCCUCAGAAAUGGCCAAGCAACCUGCUAGCAUGUGCAUAUCAUUUAGUCACAGGUUCCCUUGAAAGAAAAACUUAAAAUGAUUAGUCACCAGAAGUAUGCUGACCCACACCUCUGCAGUUUCUCAAGACAGCAGUUAUUCCUCACUUGUUCUUAACUGGAGAACUUAAGAUACUCCCUCUUAAGAAACUGAAUAAAAAUGAAAAUACACUGGCAAGAGCUGAACCAAUGCUGAAGGUCCCGCAAAGAGAGGGAUCAUAACUGGUCACCAUUGAUUACCAUGGUAUCCGGCAUGGAACAGGCACCUAAUAAAUAUGUGUUAAUAACACGUGAAUGAAAUAAUAUAUAGAACUGAAUCAUACAGGGAAGGACUGUGGAUGAAAAUUCAUUACUUCAUCAAGUCAAUUUUGACCAGGACUUAGACUCUGGGUCAGCUGGUAUGUUCUAGUUAUUCCCCAGACUCAACUAAAACCUGGGAUUACAAGAAAUGCUCCAAUUUUACUGUUAUUUUUGUUCCACUAUUCAGGAAGGGGCAGAAUCUAAAUCUCUACUAGUUUUGUUCACCAAGCUAUACAAAAAAGAAGAAAUGAAAUAUUUGGCACACUAAUUGUCCUCUGUAAGAGAUAUUUUUUGGUUAUAAAAUGGAAAUAAAAUCAGUAGGAUAGUAUGUUAAAUAAUACAAUUAAAGUAAUUAGCCCAAUGCUGGGCAAGAUAAAUGCCUAAUAAGCAAUUCGUGUUAUUAAUAAAAGCAGCAAACAAUUUGACUUGAAUGACUUUUUUUUUAAGUUUCUACUGCAAAAUGUGAGAGUCUCCAAGUUUAUAGAGGUUGUAUUAUACUUUUUCAGAGAUUUUUGAUGCAUUCAUCCAUACAUUCAAAAAUCUUUAUUGAAUAUUUAUACAUGAUAAUCCCUUUUAUUUUUCUUGGCACUGGAGAGAACAAUGAUCAAAGAAGACAGAAUUGCUGCCCUCAAGGACCUAUUAACCUAAUGACUCCUGACUUAAUAUAAAUUUUGCAUCUUAAAUAGUAAAGAGAAGAUUGCAGGAAAAGCUAUAAUAACUACAAAUGUAACAAUUUAAACAAGGAGGAUGAACUAAAGAAAAUAGCCAACAAAUUUUAAUAAACUGAUUGAUAGCAUGAUGGAAGUUUGAGGUUCACAACAGUAGAAACUACAUAAAGGUGAGGACAGUGCUUUUAAAAUAUGCAUGUACAAUAAAGUCCUUUUAUAAAGUGUU